rnacentral:rRNA from 1 species
UGGGGAAUAUUGGACAAUGGGCGCAAGCCUGAUCCAGCAACGCCGCGUGGAGGACGAAGGUCUUCGGAUCGUAAACUCCUGUCAGGCGGGACGAAGGCUUCCGGGCAAAUAGUCCGGAAGCUUGACGGUACUGCCAGAGGAAGCCCCGGCUAACUCCGUGCCAGCAGCCGCGGUAAUACGGAGGGGGCUAGCGUUAUUCGGAAUUAUUGGGCGUAAAGAGCUCGUAGGCGGUUCGGUAAGUCGGGUGUGAAACCUCCAGGCUCAACCUGGAGACGCCACCCGAUACUGCUGUGACUAGAGUCCAGUAGGGGAGCGUGGAAUUCCUGGUGUAGCGGUGAAAUGCGCAGAUAUCAGGAGGAACACCAGUGGCGAAGGCGGCGCUCUGGGCUGGAACUGACGCUGAGGAGCGAAAGCGUGGGGAGCGAA